rnacentral:rRNA from 2 species
ACACAUGCAAGUCGAACGGGAUCUGCCGGGCUUUUGUUUGGUGGUGAGAGUGGCGAACGGGUGAGUAACACGUGAGUAACCUGCCCCCUUCUCUUGGGAUAACGUCCAGAAAUGGGUGCUAAUACCGGAUAUUUACGCUUCAUCGCAUGGUGGGGUGUGGAAAGGUUUUUUCUGGUGGGGGAUGGGCUCGCGGCCUAUCAGCUUGUUGGUGGGGUGAUGGCCUACCAAGGCUUUGACGGGUAGCCGGCCUGAGAGGGUGACCGGCCACACUGGGACUGAGAUACGGCCCAGACUCCUACGGGAGGCAGCAGUGGGGAAUAUUGCACAAUGGGCGCAAGCCUGAUGCAGCGACGCCGCGUGAGGGAUGACGGCCUUCGGGUUGUAAACCUCUUUCAGUAGGGACGCAGGCCCUGGUUUUUGUUGGGGUUGACUUUACUUACAGAAGAAGCGCCGGCUAACUACGUGCCAGCAGCCGCGGUAAUACGUAGGGCGCAAGCGUUGUCCGGAAUUAUUGGGCGUAAAGAGCUCGUAGGCGGUUUGUCGCGUCUGUCGUGAAAACCCACAGCUUAACUGUGGGCUUGCGGUGGGUACGGGCAGGCUUGAGUGCGGUAGGGGAGACUGGAAUUCCUGGUGUAGCGGUGGAAUGCACAGAUAUCAGGAGGAACACCGGUGGCGAAGGCGGGUCUCUGGGCCGUUACUGACGCUGAGGAGCGAAAGCAUGGGGAGCGAACAGGAUUAGAUACCCU